UUUAUCUUUAUAAUUGUCUUAUUUUUCCAAUUUUAUGGAAAAAGUAAUGCCCAUGUAGGAUAUAUAGGUUCCCCCAACAAUAUGCCUAUCAUCAAUUCUAUCUAUACCUGUCUCCAGAAAGUUCAUCAAUUCUCUCUCCUAUAUAUGUAUAUGUACAUAUACAUAUAUAGGAGAGAGAAUUGAUGAACUUUCUGGAGACAGGUAUAGAUAGAAUUGAUGAUAGGCAUAUUGUUGGGGGAACCUAUAUAUCCUACAUGGGCAUUACUUUUUCCAUAAAAUUGGAAAAAUAAGACAAUUAUAAAGAUAAAUUACAUUCUGGAUUUACUUAUCUUGUAUCCAAUAUUAAUGCUAAUGCCAUUUGUUGCCUUGCAUUCUUGUUGGCAUCAUUGGUUCCUAUCCAAACUGAUUAAGUUCAUAAAAGUUUUUUGAUUUUCAGUUCAAUUUUAUGCAGAGCCAUAAUGCUAACAGCACAUUGUAUUCUUAUAAUUACAUAGAUGGCUUCAUUCUUCAAUGUAUAAGACCUCAGAUGGCUCCAAGGAAAUUAUCUGAGUGAGCUGCAAUUGUGCCUUGGCAUCUGUGCUUGCUUCACAAAUGUUGUUGUGGGCCAACUACUUAUUAAUAGUAUGAGAAUUGGAUGAUUCAGGUAUAUAAUCAUCAUUUUGGUGAAGAUGAUUGAUGACUUGAUGAAGCUGAAGAGAGCUGUGGAUGAAGUUAUUUUUACAGAAUUUGGAGAGCACAUUGAAUAUUAUUAUUUUUAUGAUUUUGUAUUGUCAUAUUGUAUUUAAAGGGGUUU